rnacentral:rRNA from 1 species
UACGUAGGGCGCGAGCGUUGUCCGGAAUUAUUGGGCGUAAAGAGCUCGUAGGCGCCUGUCGCGUCCGCUGUGAAAUCCCGGGGCUUAACCCCGGGCCUGCAGUGGAUACGGGCAGACUGGAGUACUGCAGGGGAGACUGGAAUUCCUGGUGUAGCGGUGGAAUGCGCAGAUAUCAGGAGGAACACCGGUGGCGAAGGCGGGUCUCUGGGCAGUAACUGACGCUGAGGAGCGAAAGCGUGGGGAGCGAACAGG